rnacentral:rRNA from 1 species
UACAGAGGGUGCGAGCGUUGUCCGGAAUCACUGGGCGUAAAGGGCGCGUAGGUGGUGGCUUAAGCGUGCGGUGAAAGCUCGGGGCUCAACCCCGAGUCGGCCGUGCGAACUGGGCUCACUGGAGCAUAGUAGAGGCAGGUGGAAUUCCGGGUGUAGCGGUGGAAUGCGUAGAGAUCCGGAAGAACACCGGUGGCGAAGGCGGCCUGCUGGGCUAUGGGCUGACACUGAGGCGCGACAGCGUGGGGGAGCAAACAGG